UUGAAUUUGAAGUUGAAACCCUAAAUUGGACAAGAAUUGUGAUUUAAUUGAUAGAUCUUGAAUUUAGUAAUUUCUAGAAGAAUGGAUGCUUUGCACAGCCCUUAUGGUAUAUUUUUCUCUCCUUUCAUCAGGAGUAGCUAAAUUUCAUUGUUUGGGAUUAUGUUGAAGUAAGGUGCAAUUAGUUGUGGGUUGUGAUGUAUUUGUGUAUAUGCUAGUUGGUUCAUGAUGG
rnacentral:lncRNA from 1 species